GAUGAACGCUGGCGGCGUGCCUAAUACAUGCAAGUAGGACGCAGUUGCGAACGGGUGAGUAAUGCGUAGGUAACUACCUAUUAGAGGGGGAUAACCAAUGGAAACGAUAGCUAAUACCGCAUACUAGUAGAUGGAACUGCGUUGUAUUAGCUAGUAGGUAGGGUAAUGGCCUACCUAGGCAACGAUACAUAGCCGACCUGAGUAGGUGCUCGGCCACACUGGGGUUGGUACACGGCCCAGACUCCUACAGGAAGCAGCAAUGGGGAAUCUUCGGCAAUGGGGGGAACCCUGACCGGACAACGCCGCGUGAGUGAAGAAGGUUUUCGGAUCGUAAAGCUCUGUUGUUAAGGAAGCGGUACUUAACCAGAAAGGGACGGCUAACUACGUGCCAGCAGCCGCGGUAAUAC
rnacentral:rRNA from 1 species